GGUUUCCUAAUGAUUGUUAAAUUGAAAUUUGUUAGGCGAUCAAGUCCCCCUUUAGAUAUUGGCAAAUGUAUGCAGACGACUGUAAGAUACAGUAUCCAUUGGCUAGUAAUUGUUGUGAUCCACCAUGUUUUGUGAUAUUUGGUUUCAAUAGGAACUGGUUAGAUACAGUUCAGGCAAAGACAUGAAAAUAACCUAAAUGUUUACUUCACUUUCAUAUUUCCUACUUGGAUUAUAAAAUUGGACGCCACCUGGCGGGCUGAUACAGAGGACAUUGAAAAAAAGAUAAAUUUACCCGUUUGUGGAAUUGUUUUUUUCAGGUUCAAUCAGCUUGACCGCCGACGUGGAUGUAUCUAAACAAUUCAAUGAGGCAAACAAAUACAAAGAAGCAACAACUUGCAUGACAAGAACAGAUUUCGCCAUCUUGGAACUCAUAAUCAAUGCUCUUUUCAGAAAUGGUUGAGCAAGCUGCGCGCGACGUUGAUUCUUAGAAACGUUACUUUCUAAUCGAUACACCUGUGUACUUGGAUCUACUUUCCCGGCAACGAUCCUGCAUCGAUUGGACUAGUUAUGAGAUUUUUUGCUAGUCAAACGAAUGGGAAAGAUUAAAUGAAUGGCAGAAAACUUAAUAAUCAGUGAUGAUUUUAUAUGCAUCACGUCAAACAACAGUUAUCAUGACAGCCAUUCCCAAAGGUUUUGGUAAUCCACUCCACAGUUGGUCAAGCAGUGCAAGUGGCUUAUAAAUUUGUGGCAAUAUAAAGUUACAUGACAAUAAGAAGUGACACUUGUAGUUCAACUAUCACGUAUUAAGUUGGGAGGCGAAUCCAUGGCAAAAUUCAGUCAUCCAUCGAUGAACAACAUUUUCCUACGUAAAGAUCAAUCGAGCUUUAUAAAAAUAGCGAUCGGGACUUCAAAAUUCGUCUUAAAUCACAGGUGAAUUAGCCUAAGUCUCAAGAAUAUGUUUUCACUCGUAAAUAUAAAUAAAUACAA